rnacentral:rRNA from 1 species
UCCUGGCUCAGGAUUAACGCUGGCGGCGUGCAUAACACAUGCAAGUCGAACGAUGAAACUUAACUAAACUCUUCGGAGUGAUUUUAAGUGGAUUAGUGGCGGACGGGUGAGUAACGCGUGAGUAACCUGCCUUGGAGAAGGGGAUAGCCUUUGGAAACGAAGAAUAAUACCCUAUGACACCAUAACCUCGCAUGAGGAAUUGGUCAAAGAUUUAUCGCUCUAAGAUGGACUUGCGUCUGAUUAGUUAGUUGGUGAGGUAACGGCUCACCAAGACAGCGAUCAGUAGCCGGCUUGAGAGAGUGUACGGCCACAUUGGGACUGAGACACGGCCCAGACUCCUACGGGAGGCAGCAGAAGGG